rnacentral:ncRNA from 1 species
GAAAAGGCGAUGAAGGAAAGAGUAGGAAGACUAGAACUUUUACAGAGAGUCGGGCAAGGUGAGAGCCGAUAAAGUUCUAGCUUCUGAAGAUGGCUCCGGAGCCGUACUGUCGAAGGCUAGUAGGCUUUACCGGGGACUCCCGUUACAGAGUAGGAGUGUGUUUGCACUCUGUGAGGCAUGAGCCGCGAGGUUCAUGCGAAGAAGGGUGGUACCGCGAAAAUCUCGCCCCUUGC